rnacentral:rRNA from 1 species
GACGAACGCUGGCGGCGUGCUUAACACAUGCAAGUCGAACGGACCCUUUGGGGUUAGUGGCGAACGGGUGAGUAACACGUGGGUGAUCUGCCCUGCACUUUGGGAUAAGCCUGGGAAACUGGGUCUAAUACCGGAUAGGACUACGCACUGCAUGGUGUGUGGUGGAAAGCUUUUGCGGUGUGGGAUGGGCCCGCGGCCUAUCAGCUUGUUGGUGGGGUGAUGGCCUACCAAGGCGACGACGGGUAGCCGGCCUGAGAGGGUGACCGGCCACACUGGGACUGAGAUACGGCCCAGACUCCUACGGGAGGCAGCAGUGGGGAAUAUUGCACAAUGGGCGCAAGCCUGAUGCGGCGACGCCGCGUGAGGGAUGACGGCCUUCGGGUUGUAAACCUCUUUCGCCAGGGACGAAGCGCAAGUGACGGUAUCUGGAGAAGAAGGACCGGCCAACUACGUGCCAGCAGCCGCGGCAAUACGUAGGGUCCGAGCGUUGUCCGGAAUUACUGGGCGUAAAGAGCUCGUAGGUGGUUUGUCGCGUUGUUCGUGAAAACUCACAGCUUAACUGUGGGCGUGCGGGCGAUACGGGCAGACUGGAGUACUGCAGGGGAGACUGGAAUUCCUGGUGUAGCGGUGGAAUGCGCAGAUAUCAGGAGGAACACCGGUGGCGAAGGCGGGUCUCUGGGCAGUAACUGACGCUGAGGAGCGAAAGCGUGGGGAGCGAACAGGAUUAGAUACCCUGGUAGUCCACGCCGUAAACGGUGGGUACUAGGUGUGGGUUUCCUUCCUUGGGAUCCGUGCCGUAGCUAACGCAUUAAGUACCCCGCCUGGGGAGUACGGCCGCAAGGCUAAAACUCAAAGGAAUUGACGGGGGCCCGCACAAGCGGCGGAGCAUGUGGAUUAAUUCGAUGCAACGCGAAGAACCUUACCUGGGUUUGACAUGCACAGGACGCCGGCAGAGAUGUCGGUUCCCUUGUGGCCUGUGUGCAGGUGGUGCAUGGCUGUCGUCAGCUCGUGUCGUGAGAUGUUGGGUUAAGUCCCGCAACGAGCGCAACCCUUGUCUCAUGUUGCCAGCACGUUAUGGUGGGGACUCGUGAGAGACUGCCGGGGUCAACUCGGAGGAAGGUGGGGAUGACGUCAAGUCAUCAUGCCCCUUAUGUCCAGGGCUUCACACAUGCUACAAUGGCCGGUACAAAGGGCUGCGAUGCCGUGAGGUGGAGCGAAUCCUUUCAAAGCCGGUCUCAGUUCGGAUCGGGGUCUGCAACUCGACCCCGUGAAGUCGGAGUCGCUAGUAAUCGCAGAUCAGCAACGCUGCGGUGAAUACGUUCCCGGGCCU